rnacentral:SRP_RNA from 1 species
GUGCGGGCUAGCCUGGAGGGUUAGGCGUCCUCUGUCACUCGAAAUCGCCGAUAUGCGAGGGGCGAAGCCUGAGGAAGGCUCUGUAGUUGUCAGCUUCAGCUCAUGGUUGGACGAGGAAGCACCGCCCUGCGGGGUUGACGGUGGCCUGGCAUCAGGCUGGAGGGCCUGGUGCCUUGCCUUUGCCACGGAUACCGGUUUAGGCCCGGAAGGGAGCGGACUCACUGUGGGCGUUGGCGCUCGGAGGAUAGCGGUGUGGAGAAAGACCAUGAGGGUCUGGUUGGCGGCUUAGGGGUCGACCAAGGGCGUGCCCGCAC